UAAACUUUGGAGUAGUUGUACUACUUAGUUUAUUUGCCAAGUUAAACAUGCUUUUCUUACGAUCUUACAUUCAUCACUCAUUCAAUAUUAGAGUCACCCAUGGUUAGAGUGUGACAACCUAAUCUCUUUUAUGGUCGUAAUAUUGUUUAAGUGAUGAAUAUAACUGUUUAUGCUUCUACCAUUUAGGAUAUACACUAAAAGGAUGAUUUCAGACCUUGGUGUUUGGGUUAACCAAAGUAAAACAUAAGAACUUGUCUAAGUAGUUCAAACUCAAAAGGAAGAUGAGAAAUAUGUUUUCUUAUUCAAAAAGAUUUUGUCUCCUCAAGAAUUUGUG
rnacentral:lncRNA from 1 species